UGGGUCUUGUUUUUUCAGCUCCAGAGAAAGUGAGCUAUGGGUGUUGUAGUGCUCAGUUGGUGGUGGAUGAGCUGAUGAAGUGAUGGUAUUGAGCUUAGCCGCUCCCUGAAUUUAUAGGCAAGGUGAAGGGCAUUGUGCUGGUGAAGAGUAGUUGUCACUGUGAAGAGUUGGCCAGGGACAAGGCCAUGUGAUCAGUGCAUGCAGUGUUGCAGCAUGAUCACUUUGGAGUAGAUUGUGAUGGGGCCAAAUGUUUGGGGCAUGCUGGAGCCAAUAGUGGUAGCAAUAGCAUCAUGGCAUGAUCUAUUCUGCGAUGCAGAUAUCGAUGGAUUCAGUUGAGAUAUCAUCAGUUUCGCACAUCAUGCUAUUAUUUUGGAGCUCCAAAUUGACACUUGACCAGCUGAAAGAAAAAGAAAGUGUGUCAGACUAAUGAUCAGGAACUUGUUCAUGGUCUUACCAGUUGCCGCUGAACCUUCAGUCUCAGAUGUGUUGUUGAUCAGUCGGAUGGUGUGCAUGCCUGAAUUAACUUGCUCGACAGAUGUUGCUGUUUGUUCACUUCGUGAUCUGCUCCAUGCAUGUCUGGUCUCCAGUCCAGCAUCUCAUGUGGUUUUCAUUUCAUUGUUGCUUCCACCAUUUGGAGUCUAAGUUAGAAAGGAAAGAACUCUAUUUCACAAGGUAUGUAUUGUAAUUUUUCUCUAAAAAACCAGUGUAAUUUUUGUCCAAAGUUGUACCAUGUUUUAGCUAGGAGGGUCAAGUGUUCUACAACUUGCCAUAAAUUACUGAAUCUGUAGCUGGCUGUUUCUGCUGAGUGUGUUGUUUAAUGGAAGUUUUCCUUCGGAAAGUAAUUUUGGCAACUAGUUUCCCGUGCAUCAUAUAUUCUCUCUCCCUUGUUUCUGAUUUUCGCAGUUUGCAUUUUUUUUGAAAUAAUUCAUGGAUGCAAACCGCAUCUGUGAAAAUUCAUACCAACAUAUAACUUCUUGUGAGCUGUAUAAAAAUGAUAACUUAUAUCAUGUGCAUGCUAUUUAACUGAGCACUAUUCAUUUGGAUAUAGUUUUUUUUCUCUAGGUCAGAAAUGGUCAUAUUAUUAGAUGAAUUUUUGCAGGUGCACAUCAUAUAGCAUUACUAACAUCAAUGAAUUAUUUGGAAAAUCAUAAAAGAUAGAAAAGAGGAGAGAAUAUGGGUUGCACAGGCAACUGGCUGCACCAAAUCAUCUCGUUUUUCCCUUCUUCUAAUUCUAAGCUAUUAAAAUAGGAAACUCAUUUGGCGUGCAUCUAUGACUCCUAAUUUGCCUUUUCUUAAUUCGUUUGCAAAUUAUGCUCACGUCUCUUUCAGGAAAAAAACAUGUCCAAAAUUCAGUAGUUUAUAGUUUCUAAAAUAGGAGUGCACGUUCGUUGAAGAGAGAUGCUACACCUAUGGACGAAUUCUUAUGGGAUUAAAGUUACAGGGGAUGGGGGACUCACAGUGAAAAUCAG
rnacentral:lncRNA from 1 species